UUAAAUGGCCGCAGUAAUUUGACUGUGCAAAGGUAGCAUAAUAAUUAGUUUUUUAAUUGAAAGCUGGAAUGAAUGGUUGGACGAGAAAAUAUCUGUCUCUAAUUAAUUUAUAGAAUUUUAUUUUUAAGUUAAAAAGCUUAAAUUUAUCUAAAAGACGAGAAGACCCUAUAGAGUUUUAUAUAAGUAUUUUUUUUAAUUAUAAGGAAUUUUUAGAUUGUAAUAAGUAUUUAUAUUUUAUUGGGGUGAUGGAAAAAUUUAUUUAACUUUUUAUUAUAAUUACAUUGAUUUAUGAUUUAUUGAUCCGUAAAAACGAUUAAAAGAUUAAAUUACCUUAGGGAUAACAGCGUAAUUUUUUUUUAGAGUUCUAAUCGAAAAAGAAGUUUGCGACCUCGAUGUUGGAUUAAAAUUAAUUUAUGGUGUAGAAGCUAUAAAAUUAGGUCUGUUCGACCUUUAAAAUUUUACAUGAUCUGAGUUUAAACCGGUGUGAGCCAGGUUGGUUUCUAUCUUUAUAAACUUAAAAUAUUUUAGUACGAAAGGACCAGAUAUUUAUAAUAAUUAUUUAAUUAUGAAUUAUAUUA
rnacentral:rRNA from 1 species